GUUUCCCAACGUGUUCAACAACACUUGGAUAGCCACGUUCUGUUUGUGUCAAUGUCAUACUGUAAGAUAGAAUCAUUUUAUAACUUAAUGUAUUUUGAGAAUCGUCUCAACCUGAAGACCACAUUAGUAAACAAAGUCACUCACUGAAUGCCUGUUUUAUCAUCACCAAUUUGUUCAGAUUGACGCCAAAAUUCACUACCAGUACGAUCUAUAGACGAAAAAACGAACAAAAUAAGAAUCAUUGGCCUCUCACAGUGACUUUCUUUACUAUUAUUUUAUUGUUGAUUUAGAGCUUACAGCCCUUCCCAUAAUCCUUCGAGGGAAUGGUCCUUUCAAUGAGAUAUCUACGGUACGAAAAAAAGUGACUUAGAAGAAACUACCAAGAAAUUUUAUAUCCCAAUAAAAUACCUACCGCUCCUCCUGUGUUCUACGAUAUCCCUCGUUUUGAUUCAUUCCCAACAUUUCUGGUGUCGUUUUCAACAAUUCUAUAAUGAAGAUCGAAUGUUACUUGCAAGACUUGCUUGCUGUUUGCGUCUUUCUGCUAUCUGUUUUUCCCAGUUUACCAAGGCAUUAGACUGAUUCAUCUAUAAUUGAAGGAUUUUACAACCUUUACGUGAUGAGGAGUUGGGAGUCUCUGCAUACGAAAGAAAGAAAGUCAGCAAAACUUGAUAAGAAUAAUUUUUUAAAAUUAAUGUAGAGGUGAUUGCAAUUGUUAAACAACAACCUUAGCAUUAUGGUGCUUUGUACUCUGUUCCUUGAAAUCUAGCAAACUUCCAAGAAUAUGAUGUUCAUAGAAAGGUUCUUCAUUGUCAAGAUAUGGAUCUUUGUUGCCUGAAAUAAAUAAAAUUUAUAAUAAAAUACAUCAAAAGAGCUUAUAGCCAAGCAUGUUUUAUAAGUACCUAUCUUUUCAUAGCUGUGGAACUCAGGAUCAUCUAAGUUUUUACGAUAACCGACAUUCACUCUACGUGAAAAUAAAGAAAAUUUAACUCCUUUAUGGUAAUAAGCAAAGACAAGAUUUCUUCACGAAAAAAUAUACAUUCUCCAGGUCUU